UACGGGGGGGCAAGCGUUGUUCGGAAUUACUGGGCGUAAAGGGCUCGUAGGUGGCCAACUAAGUCAGACGUGAAAUCCCUCAGCUUAACUGGGGAACUGCGUCUGAUACUGGAUGGCUUGAGUUUGGGAGAGGGACGCGGAAUUCCAGGUGUAGCGGUGAAAUGCGUAGAUAUCUGGAGGAACACCGGUGGCGAAGGCGGCGUCCUGGACCAACACUGACACUGAUGAGCGAAAGCCAGGGGAGCAAGCGGG
rnacentral:rRNA from 1 species